rnacentral:rRNA from 1 species
UACGAAGGGGGCUAGCGUUGUUCGGAAUCACUGGGCGUAAAGCGCACGUAGGCGGAUCUUUUAAGUCAGGGGUGAAAUCCCGAGGCUCAACCUCGGAACUGCCUUUGAUACUGGGGAUCUCGAGUCCGGGAGAGGUGAGUGGAACUGCGAGUGUAGAGGUGAAAUUCGUAGAUAUUCGCAAGAACACCAGUGGCGAAGGCGGCUCACUGGCCCGGAACUGACGCUGAGGUGCGAAAGCGUGGGAGCGAACAGG